UGAACUCUACUGGCUUGUCAUGUAUGUCAUCUACAUGCUGUGAAAGGAUUGCCAAGAAGGCUGAUCUAGGGAUGAAAUUGGGCAGUCCAACACAUUUGCAUUCGUCAAGGAUUUUUAUUUCAUCCAUCAAGAACUCACUCGCAUUCUUCGGCUUUGUUUGCAGAUCAUCUGAGAAUUGGCUUAACAUGUCAGCCAAGCGAGCAGUACAAUGCAUGUUUUGAUCAUCAGGGUAUUCGGAGAAGUCUCCUUGGACGAGAAUUCUCAAUAGUGAUUCUUUAGCAGAACCAAUGAUCUCCAUUAAUGUCAUUAAUGCUUCCCCUGUAGAACCUAUUACCAUUGGUAACUUGUUCAACUCAAGGACAGCAGUUUCCAACUUCUGGUUGAUCUUCCGUACGAUUUCAGGCAAACAUCUGGCGAUCAUGCUUGCUUGGAUAAGCAUUAGCUUCUGAGCUAACACUGGGAUGCCCACAAUGUCUUCAUCAAUCAGGCUCAGUAGUGGAUGGGUCCUGAAAAGUAACUCUUCUUGCAUCCUUGCUUCUUCAUAUGACUCUUCUCCUACACGGUUUCUGACGCAGACAUAACCAAGUACAAUACUCACAUCAUCAGCUGUUACUUUCUGCAGAAGACCUUCUGGAGCCAUGUCUGCCUUUGUGACAACAGCCAGAGUUCGUUGACCGGUUUUGUCAACUUUUCUAGACAUUCGAAUGGAUUCGCAGGUGGUGAAGUCAACAGUAGCUGACAGAACAUUUAGGAUUAUCGAUUCUUG
rnacentral:lncRNA from 1 species